rnacentral:rRNA from 1 species
UUGACUGAGUGGCGGACGGGUGAGUAACGCGUGGGUAACCUGCCUCAUACAGGGGGAUAACAGUUAGAAAUGACUGCUAAUACCGCAUAAGACCACAGUACCGCAUGGUACAGGGGUAAAAACUCCGGUGGUAUGAGAUGGACCCGCGUCUGAUUAGGUAGUUGGUGGGGUAACGGCCUACCAAGCCUUCGAUGGAUAGGGGUUCUGAGAGGAAGGUCCCCCACAUUGGAACUGAGACACGGUCCAA